rnacentral:rRNA from 1 species
UACGAAGGAUGCAAGCGUUAUCCGGAUUUAUUGGGUUUAAAGGGAGCGUAGGCGGUCUUAUAAGUCAGUGGUGAAAUCCUAUCGCUUAACGAUAGACGUGCCAUUGAUACUGUAGGACUUGAGUACAGAUGCCGUUGGCGGAAUGUGUCAUGUAGCGGUGAAAUGCGUAGAUAUCUGGAGGAACACCGGUGGCGAAGGCGGCAUCCUGGGCCGGUAUUGACGCUA